rnacentral:rRNA from 1 species
CAGCAGCCACGGUAAUACAGAGGGUGCGAGCGUUAAUCGGAUUUACUGGGCGUAAAGCGUGCGUAGGCGGCUUUUUAAGUCGGAUGUGAAAUCCCUGAGCUUAACUUAGGAAUUGCAUUCGAUACUGGGAAGCUAGAGUAUGGGAGAGGAUGGUAGAAUUCCAGGUGUAGCGGUGAAAUGCGUAGAGAUCUGGAGGAAUACCGAUGGCGAAGGCAGCCAUCUGGCCUAAUACUGACGCUGAGGUACGAAAGCAUGGGGAGCAAACAGGAUUAGAUACCCGAGUAGUCCCUGUCUCUUAUAC